rnacentral:rRNA from 1 species
GACGAACGCUGGCGGCGUGCUUAACACAUGCAAGUCGAACGGAAAGGCCUCUCUUGGGGGGUACUCGAGUGGCGAACGGGUGAGUAACACGUGAGUAACCUGCCCCUGACUUUGGGAUAACCUUAGGAAACUGGGGCUAAUACUGGAUAGGAGCUUCCGCUGCAUGGUGGGGGGUGGAGAGUUUCGGCGGUUUGGGAUGAGCUCGCGGCCUAUCAGCUUGUUGGUGGGGUAGUGGCUUACCAAGGCGUCGACGGGUAGCCGGCCUGAGAGGGUGGGAGGCGACAUUGUGAGUGUGAGAGGCGGCAGAGUCCUCCGGGGGGGAGAAGAGGGGAGAAUAGUACAAUAGGGGUGAGAGCGAGGUGGAGCAGCGGCGUGGGGGAUGACGGGGUCCGGGGUGUGAAAUCCUUUUAGGCAUGUCGAAGAGCUUGUGGUGACGGUAGUGGUAAAAGAAGCACCGGCUAACUACGUG